GACGUAGGGCGCGAGCGUUGUCCGGAUUUAUUGGGCGUAAAGAGCUCGUAGGCGGCUUGUCGCGUCGGCUGUGAAAACCCGCGGCUCAACUGUGGGCGGGCAGCUGAUACUGGCAGGCUGGAGUUCGGUAGGGGAGACUGGAAUUCCUGGUGUAGCGGUAAAAUGCGCAGAUAUCAGGAGGAACACCGGUGGCGAAGGCGGGUCUCUGGGCCGUAACUGACGCUGAGGAGCGAAAGCAUGGGGAGCGAACAGG
rnacentral:rRNA from 1 species